rnacentral:rRNA from 1 species
UGGGGAAUCUUGGACAAUGGGGGCAACCCUGAUCCAGCCAUGCCGCGUGAGUGAUGAAGGCCUUAGGGUCGUAAAGCUCUUUCGCCUGUGAAGAUAAUGACGGUAGCAGGUAAAGAAACCCCGGCUAACUCCGUGCCAGCAGCCGCGGUAAUACGGAGGGGGUUAGCGUUGUUCGGAAUUACUGGGCGUAAAGCGCACGUAGGCGGACCAGAAAGUUGGGGGUGAAAUCCCGGGGGCUCAACCCCGGAACUGCCUCCAAAACUAUUGGUCUAGAGUUCGAGAGAGGUGAGUGGAAUUCCAAGUGUAGAGGUGAAAUUCGUAGAUAUUUGGAGGAACACCAGUGGCGAAGGCGGCUCACUGGCUCGAUACUGACGCUGAGGUGCGAAAGUGUGGGGAGCAAACAGGAUCAGAUACCCUGGUAGUCCACACCGUAAAACGAUGAAUGCCAGUCGUCGGGUAGCAUGCUAUUCGGUGACACACCUAACGGAUUAAGCAUUCCGCCUGGGGAGUACGGUCGCAAGAUUAAAACUC